CACCGUGGCUCCUCCCCGCGCCGCGGAGCCACCUCUCACCCCACGCCACCGUGGCUCCUCCCCGCGCCGCCGAGCCACCUCCCACCCCGCCGGCCACCAUCUACCUCUGUUGCCGCGCACUCAAUCCGGACCGCCAGUCCCGCCGCGGUGCCCGGCCACGACCUGAGCGGAAGCCCCGCCCUCUCCACCUUCUCCGGCGUGGCGAACCCACCCUAGCCGUGGCCCCACCCUCCCCCUUCUCCGGAUCUCGCCUCGGUGAUUGUGGCCGCUGCCUUCCACCGCGCCCCCACGGUGAACCACCUUCCUUCCCAGCGCCGGAGCUCCCUGCGGCCCCGUUCGAUCCCGGCGGUUCGUUUUCGAGCAACGCGCUGGAUCCGUCGAUCCCAGCGGUUCCUUCCUCGAGCCACAAGUCGGAUCAGACCGGCGAGAAGGAGCUAGCCACUGGAUCCACUGAUCUCAGGGGGCGUCCAUGCGCAUGCGUGCAGUUUAGUUCCCCCGGUGAUGUAGUCUGUCGUCACGCCGUGUUGCAGCUCCACAUCGCUGCGUGUGCAGUGCACAAUCGUUGCUGCUGCAUCUCGGCAGCUCGCCCCCGUGCAUGGUCGCGGCCGCCGUGCAGUUCGGCCAGAGCUUCAGCUCUCUCUCCUCACCUCAUGCAGUUCGCGGUGAACGACAGAGAUGAUGGCAGCAAGAGCGACAAGUGAAGGGGCACGCCAAGCAGGAAUCAGGGGAGGGGGUCUCUGGAAUGUGGUCGUUGCUGCUCGUUUCUAAUGCCAUCGGUCGUUGAUGGAUGUUCUGUACCUCCCUCUCUUUCAGGCUGCUGCCAUCACCACUCUCAAAUGAAAAAAGUUAUGGUCCGUUGUUAGUUGAUACUGUUUUUUGUUUUGUUCUUUUGUUUAGAAAAAAAUCAAGUGGACUUCAGUUAGCUAUUGCAGGAGAAGACAAAAAAAUGCAAGAUUUAGUUUGUAAUUAUUGAAGAAAUCUGAUGUAGUUCGUUUGUGUGAUGACUUUGAUUCGCUAUGUAAAAAGAAAAUGGAAAACCCACGAUGAAGCCC
rnacentral:rRNA from 1 species